rnacentral:rRNA from 1 species
GGACCAUCAUGUCGGUCGUGCCUCGGUACGUAAUAGUUUAUUGGUUUCUUCCUUCUGACGAACCAUGAUGUCAUUAAUUUGGUGUUGUGGGGAAUCAGGACUGUUACUUUGAAAAAAUUAGAGUGUUUAAGGCAGGCUCACGCUUGAAUACAUUAGCAUGGAAUAAUGAAAUAGGACGUUUGAUUCUAUUUUGUUGGUUUCUAGGAUCGACGUA